CGGGGUGGAGAUAGUGGAAAAAAUGAGUCCCACAAUCACUCAAACUCCCCACGCUUAAACUUUCUUUCUUUGAAGCACUGUUUAAUCAUUUCCCUUGCUAAUCCAAGUUAAAAUUUUAGAAUCAUGGUUGUCAUUUCUUUAUAAACAAUAUAUAUAUAUAUAUAUACACAGUUGUUUCAGCUUUGCUUUCAGAUUAUUCUCCGUUUAUUUCUCAAUGAAUUUUGUUUUUAAUCCUUGUAACUAGCUUCUUUUCCAUGCAAGAAAAAACCCGAUAAUGGUUUUGGCUGUGGAGUCUUUAAACAGGCUAUUACAUUGUUGGAUUCUGUUAAUAAGCUUGAUAUUUGUAGUUAAUGGGCAAUUUCCAACAACCCUUGAAGGACCCUUCAAGCCGGUGACUGUGCCUGUAAAUUAUAGUAUUAUUGGACAAGUUACUAGCUUGCCAGUUGAUGAUAAUCCUCCGUUAAGCCCAGAGAUUGAGUUUCAGCCUCAACAAAUUUCGCUUUCUCUCUCUUCAGACUUGAGCUCAGUUUGGGUUUCUUGGAUUACAGGGGAAUAUCAAAUUGGUGAUGAUAUAGAACCAUUGGAUCCUCAAAGUGUAGCCAGUGUUGUUCAAUAUGGAGUCUAUAAAUCAGGCAGGAAUAAUCUAGCAGCUGGCAGUUCAUUUAUUUACAGUCAACAAUAUCCCAAUGAAGACCCCAAUAACUACACUUCUGGGAUUAUACAUCGUGUUCUUGUCACGGGGUUGGAUCCUGAUACUAUGUAUGAAUAUCAAUGUGGAGAUCCUUCUAUACCAGCAAUGAGUGAGGUUCAUUAUUUUAGAACAAUGCCUUCCCCACCCAAGGACUAUCCUAGCAGAGUAGCGGUGGUUGGAGGCCUUGGUCUUACUUAUAAUACUAGCACAACAAUUAGUCACAUGGCAGCCAAUCAUCCAGAUCUUGCUUUGUUGGUUGGGGAUUUAAGUUUUGCCGACUUGUAUUGUAAAAAUGGAACUUUAUGUGACUUUCAAAAUUGUUCAUUUCCACAAUCUCCGCUGCAAGAAACAUAUCAGCCUCGUUGGGACCAUUGGGGAAGGUUUAUGCAGAUUCUAACAGCUACUGUUCCAACAAUGGUGAUAGAAGGGGACCAUGAGAUUGAAAAACAAGCUGAUAAUCUGACAUUCACUGCUUACAAUUAUCGGUUUGCAUUUCCAUCCGAUGAAAGCGGGUCAACAUUGUACUACUCUUUCAAUGCAGGUGGAAUACAUUUUGUGAUGCUUGGUGCAUAUGUGCCCUAUGAUAAAUCAUCUGAUCAGUAUAAAUGGCUGGAACGAGACCUCUUUAAUGUGAACAGAAGUGUGACACCAUGGUUGGUAGCUGCUUGGCAUCCUCCCUGGUACAGCACCUACAAGGAUCAUUAUAGAGAGGCAGAGUGCAUGAGGGUGCAGAUGGAAGAAUUGCUAUAUAAACAUGGAGUUGACAUUGUUUUCAAUGGACAUGUUAAAGCCUAUGAGAGGUCAAACCGAGUAUACAACUACACACUGGAUCCAUGUGGUCCAGUUCAUAUCACAGUCGGUAGCGGUGGAAACGAAAUGAACUUGACACUUGAGCAUGCUGAUGAGCCUGGAAAUUGUCCAGAUCCCUCUAACACCCCGGACAGAUUCAUGGGUGGCUUCUGUGGAUUCAAUUUUACAUCUGGUCCGGCAGCUGGUAAUUUCUGCUGGAAUGAACAGCCUGAAUAUAGUGCAUAUAGAGAAAGUAGCUUUGGCUAUGGGAUUCUUGAGGUGAAAAACCAGACACAUGCCUUGUGGAUGUGGUACCGCAAUCAGGACCGCUACUCAGUUGGUGCGGAUGGAAUUUACAUUGUACGGCAGCCAGAUCGUUGCCCCAGUUGAGCCAAAGGUGAUUAAGCUUUUAAUUUAAGGUCAAUUCCAUAAGAAAAAACCAAGACAGGAGUAAUGACUUGCUGCACAAACUACUGAAUAUAGGGCGUGUUUCUUUCUCAGGUGUAGAAGUACCUUAUUCACUAAGAGGAAAGAUGAGACUGCAGUGCAACUUCAAAAUAUUCAGUAAAAGGCUUAUAGUACCACCAUGUAUAUGACUGACCCUACAAGUCUUUUCUCUGGGCUACACAACUUAUAUGGCUAGAAAUCAAUCUUUGCUCUUUAGGAUCCAAUCAUACGUAUGGAUUCCAGGAGAUUAUUACAUUAGGGUUUCAUUUCAUCUAUGUUAAGCUGAUAUUCUUAUAGGAGCUUAUUUGUAGAGUUAGGCAGAUAUAGAACAGUGUUACUGGCAUCACUUCUUCUAAUGGUAUUUGCUUAAAUUAUAUUUACUUUCAAUUUAUGAGAUAACGAGAAAACAGUUUUUGGUUUCUAAA